rnacentral:rRNA from 1 species
GAUGAACGCUGGCGGCGUGCUUAACACAUGCAAGUCGAACGGACAUGUCUUUCGGGAUAUGUUAGUGGCAGACGGGUGCGUAACACGUGGGUGACCUGCCCUAGAGUGGGGAAUAACUCGACUAACGUCGAGCUAAUACCGCAUAGGUUCACUCUUUCAUUAGGGUGAGUAAAGCAGCAAUGCGCUUGGGGAUGGGCCUGCGGCGGAUUAGGUAGUUGGUGGGGUAACGGCCUACCAAGCCGAUGAUCCGUAGGGGGCGUGAGAGCGUGGCCCCCCACAUUGGCACUGAGACACGGGCCAAACUCCUACGGGUGGCUG